ACCAGGAUGACCGAGUGGUUAAGGCGUUGGACUUAAGAUCCAAUGGACGAAUGUCCGCUGUGGGUUCAAACCCCACUCCUGGUA